rnacentral:rRNA from 1 species
CCUGGCUCACGUUGAACGCUAGCUACAGGCUUAACACAUGCAAGUCGAGGGGCAGCAUGGUCUUAGCUUGCUAAGGCCGAUGGCGACCGGCGCACGGGUGAGUAACACGUAUCCAACCUGCCGUCUACUCUUGGACAGCCUUCUGAAAGGAAGAUUAAUACAAGAUGGCAUCAUGAGUCCGCAUGUUCACAUGAUUAAAGGUAUUCCGGUAGACGAUGGGGAUGCGUUCCAUUAGAUAGUAGGCGGGGUAACGGCCCACCUAGUCUUCGAUGGAUAGGGGUUCUGAGAGGAAGGUCCCCCACAUUGGAACUGAGACACGGUCCAAACUCCUACGGGAGGCAGCAGUGAGGAAUAUUGGUCAAUGGGCGAGAGCCUGAACCAGCCAAGUAGCGUGAAGGAUGACUGCCCUAUGGGUUGUAAACUUCUUUUAUAAAGGAAUAAAGUCGGGUAUGGAUACCCGUUUGCAUGUACUUUAUGAAUAAGGAUCGGCUAACUCCGUGCCAGCAGCCGCGGUAAUACGGAGGAUCCGAGCGUUAUCCGGAUUUAUUGGGGUUUAAAGGGAGCGUAGAUGGAUGUUUAAGUCAGUUGUGAAAGUUUGCGGCUCAACCGUAAAAAUUGCAGUUGAUACUGGAUAUCUUGAGUGCAGUGAGGGCAGCGGAAAUCGUGGUGUAGCGGUGAAAUGCUUAGAUAUCACGAAGAACUCCGAUUGCGAAGGCAGCCUGCUAAGCUGCAACUGACAUUGAGGCUCGAAAGUGUGGGUAUCAAACAGGAUUAGAUACCCUGGUAGUCCACACGGUAAACGAUGAAUACUCGCUGUUUGCGAUAUACUGCAAGCGGCCAAGCGAAAGCGUUAAGUAUUCCACCUGGGGAGUACGCCGGCAACGGUGAAACUCAAAGGAAUUGACGGGGGCCCGCACAAGCGGAGGAACAUGUGGUUUAAUUCGAUGAUACGCGAGGAACCUUACCCGGGCUUAAAUUGCAGAUGAAUUACGGUGAAAGCCGUAAGCCGCAAGGCAUCUGUGAAGGUGCUGCAUGGUUGUCGUCAGCUCGUGCCGUGAGGUGUCGGCUUAAGUGCCAUAACGAGCGCAACCCUUGUUGUCAGUUACUAACAGGUUCCGCUGAGGACUCUGACAAGACUGCCAUCGUAAGAUGUGAGGAAGGUGGGGAUGACGUCAAAUCAGCACGGCCCUUACGUCCGGGGCUACACACGUGUUACAAUGGGGGGUACAGAGGGCCGCUACCACGCGAGUGGAUGCCAAUCCCCAAAACCUCUCUCAGUUCGGACUGGAGUCUGCAACCCGACUCCACGAAGCUGGAUUCGCUAGUAAUCGCGCAUCAGCCACGGCGCGGUGAAUACGUUCCCGGGCCUUGUACACACCGCC